UGGGCUAAGAACGAGUUAUUAAUGUUUUUAUUUUUGGGUAAAUAGUCAAGUGAAGGUGCGAAAAACACUAGAAAGGGGGGUUUGAAUAGAGUUUUUAACAAAAGAUAUCCCUUUUUAAGUUUUACAAAACUUAAGGAUAAGAACUAGGUGCAAGAUAUAAACAAAAUAGCACACAGGUAUUUUAUCCUGGUUCACUUGAGAUAAAAGCUCAAGCUAAUCCAGUCCACCUGUUAAGGUGAUUUUUUCCUUCUUCUGAUGAAGGCAAUUCACUAAGAUCAAUGAGUGUUACAACUGCACUUGCAACCUACAAGUGACUAACAAUACAAAGACCUUCUCACUAGUAUCCUCUCAAGAAGCUGAUCUACCGAUCCUCUCAAGACUAGCUAAUCACUGAAUCAACCUUGAUUCAGUCCUCUCAAGAUCUGACCAACCUUGGUCUCUUAAGGAAUUACAAUAAGAUUGUAGUAGGUUUGUGUUUACAAAUGAAUGCUUUUGAUAAGCAGGGUAAACUUAGAAUUGUAAGCGAAUGAAGAAUAUUGCUUGGGAGCUUUGUAAGUAUGUUUGCUAAAUUCGUGCAAUGCUUCUUACUUUCUUCAUCUUGAUGCAGCGUUCUUAUACUUCUGGAUUCAAAGAAUGUUACCGUUGUAUGAUCUGCUUUUGCAGAGACCGGUUGUAGUGGAAUUCAGAGAAUAAAGAAUAUUGUGCUGCCCGAGGUAGGUGUGCCAUCGAGAAUAAACAUCCAUGUCCAGGAUAUUCUAUUCUAUGACAACUUGUCUUAGUGCGCGACAAUACCAGUGCACUUAAUCAUUACUUAAUGCUUCAGAUGUUCUCUCGUGAAGUUAAAUGAUUAGUGUAAUUCUGAAAGCUUGUAAUCCUUAUGUCAGCUUCCGGUGGAUCUUCUGAGCUAUGUACAGUAGCUUCUGAACCGUUCCUCAGAACUUCUGAUCUUGGUUUUUCUGAGCCAACUUCUUAAGUCUUCAGAACUUUGAGUCCUCUGCUUCUGGACCGUUCCAUCUGAACUAUCUGAUCCUCAGAACUUCUGACUCCGGUUCUUCAUAACUUCAAGUUGUCUUGAUCCAUAUCAAUGCUUUCUUGUAGCUUCAGAUCUUCUGAAGGAUUUGUCACUGUUCUGAACGAACAUGAUCAGCUUUAAGAUCUUUCUUAUAGUUACCUUUUUGGUUUCUAUCUUCUGAAAUAAUGUGCUUGGAUCAGAAUGAGAACCUGUUUGUCACACUUGGAAAAGACAAACGUUAGGGUACCAUAAUUGUUCAUCAUCACAAAACUAAAUUGUAAUCAUCAAAAUAUAGAGAUGCAACCACUGAUCAAAUCUUGAUCUUACAUCAAGUUGGUCCCUAAAUGUGUUAGCCGCCUUCAAGUUGGUCCCUAAACUUCUAAAAUGCAUUCCGCGGUCCUUGAAUGUGACAAAAGUCCUUUAAGUUAGUCCCUGACCUUAAAAUCGUUAACGGCCGUUAACGAAAAUGCUGAGAUGGAAUUUAUUUUCCAUGCUGGAGUGUCUAUUUGUAAAAUUAACGUCAAUUUAGUCCCUCCUUAAAUUAAAACAAUCUUCACCUUCUUCAUCUUCAUCCUGUUCAUCUUCACCUUCUUCAUCUUCCCCAAAAACCCAGAACUCCACCCCCUCCGGCCACCACUCCAGCCACCUCCCCAUUUAAACGACCCACAACCUCCACCAUGUAAGUUCUUCGGUCACCACCCCCCUCACUCCUCCGCCAAUCAUCAAAAUCAGAUCUGGUUCUUAAACCUCAAUCCUGGCUGUUACAACCAUCGUGCUGCACUGUAGCUCGCAAUCACCAUCGAUAUGAACUCUGACCCUAAACCCUCGUCCACCACGCCGCACCGCGCUGUCGCAAGGGAUGCCGCAUCCUCUCCACUGUGAGCAUCGCCACACUGUUCAGCCAAGCUCCCACCUCGAACCCCCCUCCGAAAGCUAAGCCUCCAUCUCCUUCUCGAUCCAACAUGCUCCCAGAUGGGUAUCUCCAAAUUGAAGAUCUUGGGCAUCCGAUUCUGUUUUUUGAUCUGAUCGGAGUCCAAAAAAUCAAUCUUUCUUUUAUUCUCUGACCAAAUCUGAAUCUGGGUCCUGAAAAGCUCUGAAGAUUAUUCAUCAGUGCGCAUGGCUGAAGCUGACCACAACACUCGCAAGGUUACCCAGAUGGGUGAAAGCCAGGAUUUGAAGAAGAUUAAAGAAGAUUGGGAGAUUGAAAAGGGAUUAGCUUUCUAUUCCAGCAAUAAACUUGAUACACCAUGCGUAUAGUGUAUUUUGUUUUUGGUAUAAUCAUGUAUGGUGUUUAUUUUUGAAUUAGAAGUUGCUGUAGUGUUGUUUUGUUGUUC